GAUGAACGCUAGCUACAGGCUUAACACAUGCAAGUCGAGGGGUAGCACGGAGGAAGCUUGCUUCCUUGGGUGACGACCGGCGCACGGGUGAGUAACGCGUAUCCGACCUACCCAUAACUCGGGCACAGCCGCUCGAAAGAGUGAUUGAUUCCCGAUAUUUCCUUGGAGUAGAUUCAAUGAUGAAAGAUUUAUCGGUUAUGGAUGGGGAUGCGUAAGAUUAGGUAGUAGGCGGGGUAACGGCCCACCUAGCCGACGAUCUUUAGGGGUUCUGAGAGGAAGGUCCCCCACACUGGUACUGAGACACGGACCAGACUCCUACGGGAGGCAGCAGUGAGGAAUAUUGGUCAAUGGGCGGAAGCCUGAACCAGCCAAGUAGCGUGAAGGAUUACAGCCCUACGGGUUUUAAACUUCUUUUAUAUAAGAGUAAUGUGCACUACGUGUAGUGUAUUGCAAGUAUUAUAUGAAUAAGCAUCGGCUAACUCCGUGCCAGCAGCCGCCGCAGUAA
rnacentral:rRNA from 1 species